rnacentral:misc_RNA from 1 species
GUAGGUGAACCUGCGGAAGGAUCAUUACAAGUGAGGCUCCAAACGCUGGAAACAGCGGUCAGGAGCUUACACCCACCCGUGUCUACAUACUAUUGUUGCUUUGGCGGGCCGUGGCCUCCACUGCGGGCUCCGCUCGUGUGUGCCCGCCAGAGAACCAAACUCUGAAUGCUAGUGAUGUCUGAGUACUAUCUAAUAGUUAAAACUUUCAACAACGGAUCUCUUGGUUCUG